rnacentral:rRNA from 1 species
UACGUAGGGUGCAAGCGUUAAUCGGAAUUACUGGGCGUAAAGCGUGCGCAGGCGGCUUUGCAAGACAGAUGUGAAAUCCCCGGGCUCAACCUGGGAACUGCAUUUGUGACUGCAAGGCUAGAGUACGGUAGAGGGGGAUGGAAUUCCGCGUGUAGCAGUGAAAUGCGUAGAUAUGCGGAGGAACACCGAUGGCGAAGGCAAUCCCCUGGACCUGUACUGACGCCCAUGCACGAAAGCGUGGGGAGCAAACAGG